CAGACAGGCUGUUUUGUCGCUCGUAAGAGAGGAAAGUCCGGACAACAUAGAGCACCAAACCAUUCGAAAGCGUGGGAUCCGUUUUACGGAGACAGAGAGUGCCACAGAAAGUAAACCGCCUCGCAUUUGCGCGGUAAGGGUGAAACGGUGAAGUAAGAGCUCACCAGUAUAGAGAGCAAUCUUUAUAGCUAGGAAAACCUUUUGGGUUGCAAAGUCAAAUAAACCAAGGCUUGAGCGCUGCUCGCGUGAACUUGGAGGGUAGACUGCGAAGAUAAAUGACAAAACUCGACAGAAUCCGGCUUAUAGGCCUGUCUUUUUU
rnacentral:RNase_P_RNA from 2 species